UUGUUGGUAAGGUAAAAGCUUACCAAGGCUUCGAUCAGUAGCUGGUCUGAGAGGACGACCAGCCACACUGGGACUGAGACACGGCCCAGACUCCUACGGGAGGCAGCAGUGGGGAAUUUUGGACAAUGGGGGCAACCCUGAUCCAGCCAUGCCGCGUGAGUGAAGAAGGCCUUCGGGUUGUAAAGCUCUUUCAGCCGGAACGAAACGGUUACGGAUAAUACCCGUGACUACUGACGGUACCGGAAGAAGAAGCACCGGCUAACUACGUGCCAGCAGCCGCGGUAAUACGUAGGGUGCAAGCGUUAAUCGGAAUUACUGGGCGUAAAGCGUGCGCAGGUGGUUUUGUAAGUCAGAUGUGAAAGCCCCGGGCUCAACCUGGGAACUGCGUUUGAAACUACAAGACUAGAGUGUGGCAGAGGGGGGUGGAAUUCCGCGUGUAGCAGUGAAAUGCGUAGAGAUGUGGAGGAACACCGAUGGCGAAGGCAGCCCCCUGGGUUAACACUGACACUCAGGCACGAAAGCAUGGGGAGCAAACAGGAUUAGAUACCCUGGUAGUCCAUGCCCUAAACGAUGUCAACUAGUUGUCGGGCCUUUACGGGCUUGGUAACGUAGCUAACGCGUGAAGUUGGCCGCCUGGGGAGUACGAUCGCAAGAUUAAAACUCAAAUGAAUUGACGGGGACCCGCACAAGCGGUGGAUUAUGUGGAUUAAUUCGAUGCAACGCGAAAAACCUUACCUACCCUUGACAUGUAUCGAAGCCCGCAGAAAAGCGGGGGUGCCCGAAAGGGAACGAUAACACAGGUGCUGCAUGGCUGUCGUCAGCUCGUGUCGUGAGAUGUUGGGUUAAGUCCCGCAACGAGCGCAACCCUUGUCAUUAAUUGCCAUCAUUUAGUUGGGCACUUUAAUGAGACUGCCGG
rnacentral:rRNA from 1 species